GAGUGGGAAAAUCCUAAAGUAGAGGUGAUAUACCUAUCGAACUUAGAGAUAGCUGGUUUUUUAAGAAAAGAAUUUUAGUUCUACUUUAAAUUUUAUAUUAAACAAAAAUAUACCUAAAUUUAAAAGCUACUCAAAUAAGGCACAGCUUAUUUGAAAUAGGAUACAACCUAGACCUCAGGGUAAGAUAAAUUAAAUUUUGAUAAGUGGGCCUAAAAGCAGCCAUCUUUCAAAAAGCGUCAUAGCUUAGUAAGCACAAUUUGACUAAUACCAGUACUCACCUCUAACCCUUAUACACUAUUAAAAACCCCAUAAUAUUAUGGAAGCUACUAUGCUAGAACAAGUAACAAGAAAAAGACUUUCUCCAAAAAUGUAAGCUUA
rnacentral:rRNA from 1 species